rnacentral:misc_RNA from 1 species
AGAUUCGUCUAGGAAAUUUAUCAGGUCAGAUUCUCAUCAAAGGUUUUUCAUAUGGAAUUAGUCCUCCGGCAGUUAAGGAAAAGGGUACUUCAUUAUGCCACCUCCCCUACCCCCAACAAAAUAAAAAAGUUAAAAGAAAUAAAAGAAAGAACUAAGCAAUGUGAUUUGUACUAAAAUUGAGGCUUCUUUGGUGUGAUAAUAACAAUCUAACCUAACCUCUUUAUUUUAGGUUUUCAUAUGCAUGUUAAAUACAGAGAAUUCAUGUGAAUGUUUCAUAGUUGUGG